GGGGCCGUAGCCCAACAGGCUAGGAGGCGCCAGCUUUAGGUGCUGGACAGUGUGGGUUCGAAUCCCACCGGCCCUA
rnacentral:tRNA from 1 species